UGAUUUAUGUGAUCACCAAGCUUGGGCUGCUAUUUGUUUAUGACUUGGAGACAGCUACUGCUGUAUACAGAAAUAGAAUCAGUCCGGAUCCAAUAUUUUUGACAGCUGAAGCUUCAACGGUGGGGGGGUUUUAUUCCAUAAAUAGGCGGGGCCAGGUGUUGCUAGCUACUGUGAACGAAGCAACACUCGUGCCAUUUGUUAGCGGCCAAUUGAAUAAUUUGGAGCUUGCUGUUAAUCUUGCCAAAAGAGGAAACCUUCCUGGUGCAGAGAAUUUGGUUGUCCAGCGUUUCCAGGAGCUGUUUGCUCAAACAAAGUAUAAAGAGGCAGCUGAGCUUGCUGCCGAGUCGCCACAAGGAAUUCUUCGAACACCUGAUACCGUUGCUAAGUUUCAGAGUGUUCCUGUGCAAGCCGGGCAAACACCCCCUUUACUGCAGUACUUUGGGACACUUCUAACUAGAGGAAAGCUUAAUGCAUUUGAGUCUUUGGAAUUAUCACGACUUGUUGUCAAUCAAAAUAAGAAGAAUCU
rnacentral:misc_RNA from 1 species